rnacentral:rRNA from 1 species
UACGUAGGGUGCGAGCGUUGUCCGGAAUUAUUGGGCGUAAAGGGCUCGUAGGCGGUCUGUCGCGUCGGUAGUGAAAACUCAGGGCUUAACCCUGAGCCUGCUUCCGAUACGGGCAGACUAGAGGUAUGCAGGGGAGAAUGGAAUUCCUGGUGUAGGCGGUGAAAUGCGCAGAUAUCAGGAGGAACACCGGUGGCGAAGGCGGUUCUCUGGGCAUUACCUGACGCUGAGGAGCGAAAGUGUGGGGAGCGAACAGG